UGCAGAAAUUAUGAUGAAGAAAUUGACACAAGGAACAAAGGAGCGGGAUGUUAUCUCCAUCUAUGGAAUGCCUGGACUCGGUAAAACAACUUUGGCAAGGAAGGUAUACAACAAUCCCUAUAUUGUUAAUCACUUUGAUGUUAAAGCAUGGUGUGCUUUGUCGCAAGCAUAUAAUAGGACGACGUUAUUGAUUGAGAUUUUCAAACAAGCUACAAAUGAUGAGAUCGAAAUCAAAGAAGACGAUGAUGUAGCUGACAUGUUGCG